rnacentral:tRNA from 1 species
GGAGAGAUAGCUUAAGCGGUAAAGCACAUGCCUAGUAUGCACAAGGUCCUGGGUUCUAAUCCCCAGUAUGUCCA